AAUAUUGGACAAUGGGGGCAACCCUGAUCCAGCCAUGCCGUGUGUGUGAAGAAGGUCUUCGGAUUGUAAAGCACUUUAAGUUGGGUGGAAGGGCUUUAGGUUAAUACCCUGAAGUUUUGACGUUACCAACAGAAUAAGCACCGGCUAACUCUGUGCCAGCCGCCGCGGUACUACAGAGGGUGCAAGCGUUAAUAGGAAUUACUGGGCGUAAAGCGCGAGGAGGUUGUUCAGUAAGAUGGUUGUGAAAUCCCCGGGCUUAACCUGGGAACUGCUUUCAUAAAUGCUGAGCUAGAGUACGGUAGAGGGUAGUGGAAUUUCCUGUGUAGCGGUGAAAUGCGUAGAUAUAGGAAGGAACACCAGUGGCGAAGGCGACUACCUGGACUGAUACUGACACUGAGGUGCGAAAGCGUGGGGAGCAAAC
rnacentral:rRNA from 1 species